AGUUGGCUUAGUUAGGAGGCUUGAUGAUCUUUCAAUAUGUUUCUGUAUUGUUUUGAUCUUGAGAUCUUUUUGAGGAGGAACUCUGUUUUUCUUUUUUUGUUGCUCAAAUCAGAGCUUCUCAAUCAGCUUCAGACAUUA
rfam:Brassica rapa chromosome A8, whole genome shotgun sequence.